rnacentral:rRNA from 1 species
GACGAACGCUGGCGGCGUGCUUAACACAUGCAAGUCGAACGGAAAGGCCCUGCUUGCAGGGUACUCGAGUGGCGAACGGGUGAGUAACACGUGGGUGAUCUGCCCUGCACUUCGGGAUAAGCUUGGGAAACUGGGUCUAAUACCGGAUAGGAACCAUCUUUAGUGUGGUGGUUGGAAAGUUUUUUCGGUGUAGGAUGAGCUCGCGGCCUAUCAGCUUGUUGGUGGGGUAAUGGCCUACCAAGGCGGCGACGGGUAGCCGGCCUGAGAGGGUGUACGGCCACAUUGGGACUGAGAGACGGGCCAGACUCCUACGGGAGGCAGCAGUGGGGAAUAUUGCACAAUGGGCGCAAGCCUGAUGCAGCGACGCCGCGUGGGGGAUGAAGGCCUUCGGGUUGUAAACUCCUUUCGCUAGGGACGAAGCUUUGUUGUGACGGUACCUAGAGAAGAAGCACCGGCUAACUACGUG